rnacentral:rRNA from 1 species
AGCGAACGCUGGCGGCGUGCUUAACACAUGCAAGUCGCGCGGGAAAGAGACUUUCGGGUCUUGAGUAGAGCGGCGGACGGGUGCGUAAGACGCGGGUGACCUAUCCGAGAGGCGGGGAUAACCCAGCGAAAGCGGGGCUAAUACCGGAUGAGCCCCCAGGCGGAAACGCGCGGGGCGAAAGAUGCUACUCGAUAGUGGCAUGUCCUCACGGAGGGGCCCACGCCUAUCAGCUAGNGGUGUGUAACGGCGCACCAAGGCGAAGACGGGUAGCUGGUCUGAGAGGAUGGCCAGCCACACGGGGAC